rnacentral:rRNA from 1 species
AUGUUAUUCCUGAAGAAGAAUAUGCACAUCGGCACUACACUUCCUGGAGGAACCAUGUUUGCACGAGAUGGUGCACCAAAGUCUGUUCAUUUUUCCUCUACUCCUUUGGAGUCAAAGUACUUGACAACAAUCCUUUCGCAUUUCAUGAUACCUCAUGGCUCGAUGAAGGCAAAGCAGGUAGCUGACACCCUUCGUUCAUGUGGCAAACCGGUUGACAAGGAGGAGCCUCACAUGUGAUUCUCAUAUCGUGAAGCAAUGUCAAGGUUCGCCGCCAGAGAAUUAGGGGUCAGCGGCGCACGAGCAACCAUUACAAGGAUUCAUGGGAACGAGACCCCCAACUCCAUGUACGUUGUGGAACAGAUCACUCAACUGAACAAUAACGUGGUGCCAUGCCAUCCUAUGGAUUUUCCGUAUGAGGUCUUUUAUUGCCAUCGGCCGAAAGAGGUGCAGUCUUUGAGGGUGCAACUCAAGGGUUUGAAAGAUGGCAUGCUGCGCGUGACAGCAAUAGCCAUGUGUCACAUGAACACAUCUAAUUGGGACACCCAGUACUUUGAGCUAUUAGAUGGAAAGCGUGGUGAACCUGUUUGCCACUACAUGCCUACCAAUUACAUCAUGUUUUAUUAG